rnacentral:rRNA from 1 species
GGGGAAUAUUGGACAAUGGGGGAAACCCUGAUCCAGCGACGCCGCGUGUGUGAAGAAGGCCUGCGGGUUGUAAAGCACUUUUAGUGGGGAUGAAAAGCUCAGGGCUAAUACCCCUGGGUCUUGACCUACCCCAAAGAAAAAGCACCGGCUAACUCUGUGCCAGCAGCCGCGGUAAUACAGAGGGUGCGAGCGUUAAUCGGAAUUACUGGGCGUAAAGCGUGCGUAGACGGUCAUCUAAGUCGGAUGUGAAAUCCCCGGGCUCAACCUGGGAAUUGCAUUCGAUACUGGAUGGCUAGGGUGCGGAAGAGGGAAGCGGAAUUUCCGGUGUAGCGGUGAAAUGCGUAGAUAUCGGAAGGAACACCAGUGGCGAAAGCGGCUUCCUGGUCCAGCACCGACGUUCAGGCACGAAAGCGUGGGGAGCAAAC